rnacentral:rRNA from 1 species
GUGUCAGCCGCCGCGGUAAUACGUAGGUGACAAGCGUUAUCCGGAAUUACUGGGCGUAAAGCGCACGCAGGCGGCGCAUUAAGUCUGAUGUGAAAUCUCCCGGCUUAACUGGGAGGGGUCAUUGGAAACUGAUGGGCUUGAGGCGGUGAGAGGGGUGUAGAAUUCCCGGUGUAGUGGUGGAAUGCGUAGAUAUCGGGAGGAAUACCAGUGGCGAAAGCGGCACCCUGGCACUAGCCUGACGCUCAUGUGCGAAGGCGUGGGGAGCGAACGGGAUUAGAUACCCCCGUAGUCC